CGUUUCGUUUUUUGGUGGUCAUUCAUUACAUGGAUAACCAUGGUAAUUCUAGAGCUAAUACAUGCAUCCAAACCCAACUUCUCGGAAGGGUUGUGUUUAUUAGGUACAGAACCAACCCAGGCUCUGCCUGGUCCUUUGGUGAUUCAUGAUAACCGAACGAAUCGCAUGGCUUCGCUGGCGAUGAACCAUUCAAGUUUCUGACCUAUCAGCUUUCGACGGUAGGGUAUUGGCCUACCGUGGCAAUGACGGGUAACGGAGAAUUAGGGUUCGAUUCCGGAGAGGGAGCCUGAGAAACGGCUACCACAUCUAAGGAAGGCAGCAGGCGCGCAAAUUACCCAACCCUGACACAGGGAGGUAGUGACAAGAAAUAACAAUACAGGGCGUUACNUCUUGUAAUUGGAAUGAAUAGAAUUUAAAUCCCCUUAUGAGUAUCAAUUGGAGGGCAAGUC
rnacentral:rRNA from 1 species